GCUCACGCUCAUGCUCACAGCACACGGGUUCCGCGCCCCACUAUGCUAGAAGUAAACAAACCAGGGCGCGGAACGCGUGAGAUGUCGGGCAAGGAUAUUACCUACCCUUGAGAUUUUGACCUUUUCCUGGAAAGGUCCCAAAAAAGACG
ensembl:ncRNA C41G11.17 ncRNA